rnacentral:lncRNA from 1 species
AGGCAACAUGAUGUCUUUAGUUUGCAAUCCCACCCACCCGCGGCGCCACAUCAGCAAAUCCAGUCCUAAAACCGGUGUGAGGGCGAUUUCAACCGGGAUAAGAAAUGUCAGGGUAUGAACUUCAGGGAUUUAAAGAUCAGGGUUUAUUUACGUCGAGCCCUACACCAUCAGGGUUUGAAACAGACUUCACUCUUCAGGGUGAAUGUGUGGAUGCAUGCUACUCAAACCUCCAUUAACAAUAGGGUAGGUUGAUCGUCACGUUAACAUGACAUCUUGAUCGACUGGAAUAUAUCACAACAGCCUGUUCGCCUAGUUCGGCUGCGACGCCGACCACGGACGGAACCAGAAGGAGGCCAUCUCCCUCCAUGCCGUAAAAAACCCCUCAAACUAGCUAAGAGACUGUUCGAAAAUGCUUCAGCUCCUCCGAAGCCUUGACUACCGCGCGCUCCUCCAACUCUGAUCGAAGUAAAAGUUAUUAGUUCUACAAAAAAUUGUUCGACAUGUUGAGUAAUUAGGCAUAAUUUUCAUGAUUAAUUUCAGAAUAUAAAGCAUGACGAUACUAGCUACUAAUAUGUGAAACUCUAACAUACUAGAUGCAGUAGACAACAUGAAUAGCAACAACACCGUAUAGCAAAACAUGUACGCAUCUAACAUGUUCAUCAGGUUAACGAAAACACAACGUACGUACCAAACGUUUGUAGAUGAAGCAGAUAUGUUUGAUGCAGCUACGUUGUUGACGAUGACGGGACGAAGUAGACGACACUUGAGGCGGCGGUACGCAGCACCGCCCGACUUGCUAGGUAGACGGCCCGUUGUGGAAGUAGCGAGCAGUCGCGCAGAACACUUUCCAAAAACCUAAUUCGCCCUCUCCCAUACAGGAUCACAAAGGCGACUGGUUCCGGAGACUUGCUCUCCCGUUCGCCCGUGGACGCCGGCGCUCGGGAUGAGGUAGACUACGAUGGCGGCUCAAGUUGUGAGACGAGGCAAAACCCUAGAUGUUU